rnacentral:lncRNA from 1 species
UGAAAUUUCAUAUAUUUCAUAUAUGAAUUUCAAGGCUCUACUAAAGUACAAAGUUAGCAGGCAAAUAACAUUUCUGGUUUACAUCUAGCAGAUAGAAACUCCCCACCAUAUUACAUUUCAAAGCAUUACAAAAGGGAUCUUUAUAGAAUACAGUUAAGAGAGCACUAUGAUUAAUCCUGCAUUAAGCAUCUUCAAUCCAACUAUAACUAAAGUACUAAGAAUGCUGUAGGAUCAGACUUACAGUGACUAUCACUGAAGAGUGAAGACUUACUGAACCUCUGUGUUUUCUUUUAUCCAGGUAUUUGAUUGAGAACUCCUCAUAUAGUGAAGUGCUUUAGAAUUUACAGCUGCUGCAGUGAAAAAUCAAUAGCAAAACUCUACAAGACUCCUAUGGCAGCAGAAAAAGCAUCAAGAAAAGUGGCUGUGACACUAUACAUCACUAUUCUGCAGUACUGCAACACUUCUUGGAGAGAGCCCUGGCCUUGAACUUCAAGUUAUGAGUCAAAGUCCCAUUUGGUUCAUUCUGGCUGACUGUAGAGUAGAAUCCGGUGGCUGACGUUCAGCACGCGGACUCCUUAAUCAAUGCAUCGUGAAGCAGUAGGUGUCAUACAAACCAAA